GAUCUCGGCCAUCGACGCAGGCUUCACGCGGGCGCUGGCGACCAUUCUGGACUCCAACAUCACCACGUUCAUCGCCGCCGCCGUGCUGUUCUAUAUCGGCACCGGCCCGGUGCGUGGUUUCGCCGUGACGCUCGGCAUCGGCAUCAUCACCACGGUUUUCACGGCGUUCACCGUCACGCGGCUGAUCGUCGCGAUGUGGGUGGCCUGGAAGCGGCCCAAGACCGUGCCGAUUUGA
rnacentral:misc_RNA from 1 species